rnacentral:lncRNA from 1 species
GAAUUUGUACAAAUGCACUAUUGAAGCUACUGGAGUCAAUACGCCUUGGAUUUUGGAAACUGUGGGUUGUCAAAGAAGAUUCAAGCGGCCAAUCGUCUAGAGCUAGUGCUUCCUCGGUUAACUUUGCGAUGAACGAAACAUUUGAGCAAAUAUCACAGAUGUUUCAAUCUCAAGUUUGUAUCUCUGCAGAAGAAGAUCUACAUAUUGCAGUGAACGUGAAGGUGUGCAAUGAAUCAUUGAAGUGAAUUGAGAAGGGAAGGGGUCGAC